AAGAAAGUGGCAGAGCGGUCAUGUGGUUGGCUUGAAACCAUCUUAUGGGGGUUCAACUCCCUCCUUUCUCG
rnacentral:tRNA from 1 species